rnacentral:piRNA from 1 species
UGAUCAGGGUGGCCAGGAGUUGCUGAC